rnacentral:lncRNA from 1 species
GUAAAUUUCUCGUUGGGAUAAGCUAAGGAAACUGAAUUUCGAGUCAUUUUGUGUUAUGCCGCAAUCACACGCUGAAUGUGGGAGCUGAAUGUGGCUUGAAUGUGGAAGUCAUCGGCCCGAUGCCUGAAUUUUGCGCGUGACGCGCAAAAUUCAGCAACGAUCCUAAUCGGACUAAUGUUGAAUUCGUCUGAACCAUUCGAGUAGAUUUGAUACACAUCUGGAUGAAACUAACUCGAAUUUGCUCAAUUUCAGCCGUUGGGCGAUAACUGUUGACUUCCACAUUCAGCUGCUAACUUCAGCGUGUGAUUGCGGCAUCAGGUACAUUAACUUAUGGCGUCCGCCAUUUUUGGGUCCUAGGAGGCUUCAUCCAGCCUAGGAUGGCUUAGCCAAUCAGUGGUAGAAAGUGGCCGAAGUGGCAAUACUCUCCUUAUUAAGGUACUCUGAGAGGAGCCAGAGGUAGUGGUUCCUUAUUGCAAAAUGUAAUCCACAUGAUAAGUUUCGAGUAGGAUUUCACAAGCUUCAUCUCAAAAAAAGUCGAGUUUCCUGGACUUGUGGCACCGGUUGGGAACCCAUACCCGCGGCGGGGAAUAAAAGUCCGUAGCCGUGUCAAUAACGAAACUCGCGACUUUUUCGCUUUUCUGCUUUGUUGCUUUUUUGCCGGGAAGUGUCGGAGCUAUUAUCCGCCGUCGCGAAUGCGGGCGAGUGCGACGCGACGCGGUGCGGUGCGGUGCGCCUUCACCUCUCUUUCGCGCAACGAUGCACCCGCGAGCCGCGAAUGCUGCGAUACGGUGUGUGAAAAUAUUCCCUCAUAUCGCGUAAUGCCGAUUGCCGCCGCCGUCGCGGACCCCGUUGCCACGGUGAGAGAGCUAGGUUCUUGGAAAAAUCCCCGCUCGUGGAAACUUGGGGCUCUCUCUAAGCUAACUUCUGCGAUCGGACACGAUUCACUUCGAGGAAUGGGAUAUUCGCGAUGGGGUUGUGAAGUGAACGUCAGAUUCAGUCAAUACGCCCCAGUAACUUCAGAGCGAUUGAUAAACAUGAUCCCUUCUCCAACUGUGGCUACAGAGUUUACACCGUUCCAUUUGGCAACCUCGCACACGAUGCAUGGCUGAAUGUAUGCAGAUUACCCGGGCUCAAGCGUUCCUCGACUUCACCUAUCAACCGUGAGUGAUUUUUUUCUCCCACUUUAUCAGUUCCCUUGAAUUUUUAUCGGGGCUCUCAUUGGCCAAUAAAACUUGAAUGGCCUUUUGAGUAAAAGCUCUAUUCGCCAACCGUGUAUCUCUUUCCAGCGGGAGCAUUGCACUUCACGGUUACGUGCAUUUACGGUUGCAUAAGUACCAGCAGGCGAAGCAGCCAUGACUAGUUCACGCAACGACUCUCUCCAGCCAUCACAACAUGUUUUAAAAGUACUAUUUACACUUUUAGGAGUCCAUGUUAUUUGAUUUUUCCUUCAGGGUCUACUUAAACAUUCACAUUUUCAAUUUCAGUGGGACUCAUAUUAUAGGUAAGUGUAUUAAUGAAAAACCCGUGCUUACAGCGUUCAAAAUCGAAAGUAACGGAACUUUCAGAGAAUCGUAAAGAUUGAGGAAAAACCUUCACUUUUGCCCUUUACUCAACAUUGAAUAAUCAAUAAUGUAGUAACAUUAUUGAAAUUGGAAAUUUAAACUAAAAAAAAUACUAAUAUUUAGAUAGUACACAUUAAUCGAAUAGUUUCGAUUUCUAUUAAUCCAGAUAUGACAAUUACUUAGAUCUAAAUAUUUUAUAAAAAUAAUAAUAUGUGAAAUUAAAGAUAACUUAUUCAAAGAUAACCCGCUGUGCAGUAGCAUAGCAGGUGAGUUUUUUUUAAUUUAAAAAAAGAUAGCAUCUAAAAAAUGAAGGUAUAUUCAAAUUCUACAUUUGAAAACUUACUAAAAAGCUGCACUUAGAAACGUGAAAAUUUGCAAAAGCAAUGUUUUAUAUUUUCCAAUGAAACUGGAUUAAUCACGAUUGUAAGAUGAGAGUUUAAAAAACAGUUUUAAGAUGAAGCUAUUUGAAUUUUUAGUCUUUAUGUCCUUUAGUCAUUUUUAAAUUU